rnacentral:rRNA from 1 species
GAUAAACGCUGGCGGCGUGCAUGAGACAUGCAAGUCGAACGGACGAUUCGGGCUUGCUCGAAUCGUUAGUGGCGGACGGCUGAGUAACGCGUAGGUGACCUGCCCCGAAGUGGGGAAUAACUGCCCGAAAGGGUGGCUAAUACCGCAUGUGGUCGCACGUUCGCUCGUGCGAGUAAAGCCGCAAGGCGCUUCGGGAGGGGCCUGCGUCCGAUUAGCUCGUUGGUGGGGUAAUGGCUCACCAAGGCGACGAUCGGUAGGUGGUCUGAGAGGACGAUCACCCAGACUGGGACUGAGACACGGCCCAGACUCCUACGGGAGGCAGCAGUCGGGAAUUUUGCUCAAUGGGCGAAAGCCUGACCUCGCGACGCCGCGUGAAGGAUGAGGGCCUUCGGGUCGUACACUUCUUUUCUCGGGGAUGAAUAAUGACAGUACUCGGGGAAUAAGUCACGGCUAACUACGUG